GUAAGAGUGGUGUAGUGGUUUGAACACUGGACUACAACUCUGGAAACCAGGGUUCAAAUCCCUGGUUGGCCA